rnacentral:rRNA from 1 species
CUACGGGUUGCAGCAGUGGGGAAUAUUGCACAAUGGGGGAAACCCUGAUGCAGCCAUGCCGCGUGUGUGAAGAAGGCCUUCGGGUUGUAAAGCACUUUCAGUUGUGAGGAAAGGUUGUAGAUUAAUACUCUGCAGCUGUGACGUUAGCAACAGAAGAAGCACCGGCGAACUCCGUGCCAGCAGCCGCGGUAAUACGGAGGGUGCGAGCGUUAAUCGGAAUUACUGGGCGUAAAGCGCGUGUAGGUGGCUUGUUAAGCCAGAUGUGAAAGCCCCGGGCUCAACCUGGGAACUGCAUUUGGAACUGGCAGGCUAGAGUUUUGUAGAGGGUGGUAGAAUUUCAGGUGUAGCGGUGAAAUGCGUAGAGAUCUGAAGGAAUACCGGUGGCGAAGGCGACCACCUGGCCAAUAACUGACACUGAGACGCGAAGGCGUGGGUAGCAAACGGGAUUAGAUACCCGCGUAGUC